UACGAAGGGGGCUAGCGUUGUUCGGAAUUACUGGGCGUAAAGGGCGCGUAGGCGGUGUGUCAAGUCAGGCGUGAAAGCCCCGGGCUCAACCUGGGAACAGCGCUUGAGACUGGCACGCUCGAGUUCGGGAGAGGAUGGUGGAAUUCCCAGUGUAGAGGUGAAAUUCGUAGGUAUCGGGAGGAACACCAGUGGCGAAGGCGGCGAUCUGGGUAGAUACUGACGCUGAGGUGCGAAAGCGUGGGGAGCAAACAGG
rnacentral:rRNA from 1 species